CGCCGAAACGCGGGCCUGGCCCGCGUCGCCCGGGCGCGUCAGACCCGGGCCUGAUGAGGCCAACCACAG
rnacentral:hammerhead_ribozyme from 1 species